rnacentral:tRNA from 3 species
UGGGGUAUCGCCAAGCGGUAAGGCACCGGUUUUUGAUCCCGGCAUUCCCUGGUUCGAAUCCAGGUACCCCAGCCA